GACGAACGCUGGCGGCGUGCUUAACACAUGCAAGUCGAGCGGUAAGGCCCUUUCGGGGGGUACACGAGCGGCGAACGGGUGAGUAACACGUGGGUGACCUGCCCUCAGCUCUGGGAUAAGCCUGGGAAACCGGGUCUAAUACUGGAUAUGACUCCAUGACGCAUGUUGUGGGGUGGAAAGCCUUGUGCGGCUGAGGAUGGGCCCGCGGCCUAUCAGCUUGUUGGUGGGGUGAUGGCCUACCAAGGCGACGGACGGGUA
rnacentral:rRNA from 1 species